rnacentral:rRNA from 1 species
UACGGAGGGUGCAAGCGUUAUCCGGAUUUAUUGGGUUUAAAGGGUCCGUAGGCGGAUCUGUAAGUCAGUGGUGAAAUCUCACAGCUUAACUGUGAAACUGCCAUUGAUACUGCAGGUCUUGAGUGUUGUUGAAGUAGCUGGAAUAAGUAGUGUAGCGGUGAAAAUGCAUAGAUAUUACUUUAGAAACACCAAUUUGCGAAAGGCAGGUUACUAAAGCAAACAACUGACGCUGAUGGACGAAAGCGUGGGGAGCGAACAGG